UACAGAGGGUGCAAGCGUUGUUCGGAAUCAUUGGGCGUAAAGGGCGUGUAGGCGGUCUGUUAAGUCUAGGGUGAAAGCUCCCGGCUCAACUGGGAGAGGUCCUUGGAUACUGGCGGACUUGAGGGAUGCAGAGGAAAGUGGAAUUCCCGGUGUAGUGGUGAUAUGCGUAGAUAUCGGGAGGAACACCAGUGGCGAAGGCGGCUUUCUGGGCAUUUCCUGACGCUGAGACGCGAAAGCGUGGGGAGCGAACCGG
rnacentral:rRNA from 1 species